UGCAUUUAGUACCGGAGGACGUAUUCUUGAUGCAUUUCGAAGUUCAUUGGGUCCAAAGAUGGUGGAGGCUUUGAUUUGUUCACAAAAUUGGUUGAAAUCAAAUCCUAUGAGAUAUGAUUAUAAAGUUGAAGUACCAAUUGAGGAUGUUGCAUAUUAUGAUUCUAUUGAAUCAGGAGCAUCUUGUGUUACAAAACAAAAUCUACCUCCAUCUAAUUGAUCUAUGAUUGCUUGGAUGAAUGAAAUAUGGCUUUGCAUGGCAUAUUGUGAUAAUGGGAUUGUGGUUGAUGGUGGUUGCUCGUGGAAUGAAGUGUG